UCGCUUCUAUCAACCGCAAUUUUGGCAUGAUCUGGCUCUAAGACUUCCAUUUUAUUAUUACCGGAUGGCUGCACUGCAUUUGACUGUGGAAGUGAAGGGUCAUCCAUGGAGGAGGAAGAAGCCUUCGACUUCUCACCCUCCAUCUUUCUUUGUUUCUCAAACAUCAUUUGUAGAUACCUUCCUUGUUCCUCAAUUCUCAACUGUAAAUUCCUCUGAAUCUCAAGCUGUU
rnacentral:misc_RNA from 1 species